UACAGAGGGUGCAAGCGUUAAUCGGAAUUACUGGGCGUAAAGCGCACGUAGGUGGCUUGAUAAGUUGGGUGUGAAAUCCCCGGGCUUAACCUGGGAAUUGCAUUCAAGACUGUCUUGCUAGAGUGUGGAAGAGGGAAGCGGAAUUCCAGGUGUAGCGGUGAAAUGCGUAGAUAUCUGGAGGAACAUCAGUGGCGAAGGCGGCUUCCUGGUCCAACACUGGACACUGAGGUGCGAAAGCGUGGGGAGCAAACAG
rnacentral:rRNA from 1 species